UACGUAGGGGGCGAGCGUUGUCCGGAGUUACUGGGCGUAAAGCGCACGCAGGCGGUCGCGUAAGAGUGCGGGGACACGGUGGGCGGCUUAACUGCCCAAGGGUCGCACAGACUGCGUGACGUGGAGGGCCAGAGAGGGACCUGGAAUUCCGGGUGGAGCGGUGAAAUGCGUAGAGAUCGGCAGGAACACCUAGGGGGAAACCAGUGGACUGGGCAUCGGCUGACGCUCAGGUGGACGAAAGC
rnacentral:rRNA from 1 species